rnacentral:tRNA from 1 species
CUGCCCGUAGCUCAACUGGAUAGAGCAACGGCCUUCUAAGCCGUAGGUCGGGGUUCGAGUCCCUCCGGGCAGGCCA